ensembl:lncRNA
AAAAAGGGAAAGAGAGAGAGGGAGAAGUGGGGAGAGAGAGAGAGAAAAAAAGAAAAGUGUGUGUGUGAGAGAGCGAGCGAGAGAGAGCGCAAGCAUUCGGGAACGAGGUGAAUUGCAUCGUGAUUUCAUCCGAGCGCAGCUGCAAGACACGCUGGAAUCCAAACAGGCUUUUUCUAUUUGCAGAUAUUUGUUUCAGAGGCUUUUCCCUCUCGCCUUCGUCCUCGUGCAGCACUUCAGUGUUUUCUGUCUCACCACAUGAGUUGGAUUUUAAUACUGUGAAGCCUCAUGGAAUCAGAUGCCGGACAGGAUUGGUCUCCAGCUGGAUUAAAAGCAUCAUUCAGUCAGAUGAGCGGCACGGACAGACACUGAGAGCUGAGGUUGUGUCAGAAGAGCAGGCGAGGAUGAAACUAAAGCCCAGUAAAAGAGAUUCCCCCUGGGGGAGCCAUAGACAGAUGUGGAGCCCCUGGAGCCACUGACCCCGUGUCCGAAUGAUCUAUGGAUGAAGACCACCAACCCUCAAGAGUCAAUCUUCCACUGCUGAGCAAUUACACAUUGGCAGACGCAAACAAAUGUUGCUCGGUAAUUGCUGAGUAUCUACAGUCUGAACAUUCAGUUCCUGUGCUUGAUUUUCUCAGUUAGAUUCCUGUUACAAGAAAAAUAACCUACCACAACCGUACUUAGCCUGGAGAACUCUGACCUACAAUCCAGCAAAUGCAUGCAAAGUAUCCGGGAAAGGCCAUGUAUCCUCACAUUACCUUCCAAUCACAUGACCGUGAAAGAGGAAAGUUAUAACGUCUCAUCAAGAAUGCUGAGGUCGGGCAGGCUUGCGGUCUAACAGGAUCAAUACAACCUCGCUGAUUUAUGGGCAGAUUUCUCUUCCAUUUAGUGCAUUGGGGAAGAAUCAUCUGCCAAGACCAGGAUUGUGAAACCAAGUCCCUUCGGUACUUUAAGAGUUGAAUUUCCAUUGCAAAGUAACCCUGCUCUAGACCUUUUAGGCUCUUUGUAUCAUUUAAGACUAUUUCUUCAGAUUUACAAUCAAUACAACUCUUACAAUACAGUGUGAAUUAAACUGUCAGUCGAAAGCAAUUGGCUUUUUGGUAGGAUAAGUUCUUUUUACUUUGUUCCUGGUUCAAGUUUACAAAAUAUUGGAAAUGCAAAUGCCUUCAAAAUUCACAGAACUGGGUUGAAAAAGCAGCACCUCCAACCAGCCAAGUUUGACCCUGCUGAUUUAUAGGCCAAGUCUGACCAAGACUGUGAAACAGGUUUUCACAGUUCUCUUUGGUUUGCAUUUCUAUUGAAACGUAAUUCUGCUUUAGACAUUCUUUUAAAACUUUGUAUCAUUUUACACUAUUUCUUCAGAUUUACAAUCAGUUCAACCCUCGUCAAGCAGUGAAUCAAACUGUCAGUUGGAAGCACCUCCUUUUAAGUUCUUUUUACUUUGUUCCUGCAUCAGGUUUAUAAAAUAUUGGAAAUGUA